UACGAAGGGGGCUAGCGUUGUUCGGAAUACUGGGCGUAAAGCGUGCGCAGGCGGCUUCUCAAGUCAGGGGUGAAAGCCCAGAGCUCAACUCUGGAAUUGCCUUUGAGACUGAGUGGCUUGAGUACGGGAGAGGUGAGUGGAAUUCCCAGUGUAGAGGUGAAAUUCGUAGAUAUUGGGAAGAACACCGGUGGCGAAGGCGGCUCACUGGCCCGUAACUGACGCUCAUGCACGACAGCGUGGGGAUCAAACAGG
rnacentral:rRNA from 1 species